UACGUAGGGUGCGAGCGUUAAUCGGAAUUACUGGGCGUAAAGCGUGCGCAGGCGGAUUGUUAAGCAAGAUGUGAAAUCCCCGGGCUUAACCUGGGAAUGGCAUUUUGAACUGGCAGUCUAGAGUGCGGCAGAGGGGGGUGGAAUUCCACGUGUAGCAGUGAAAUGCGUAGAGAUGUGGAGGAACACCGAUGGCGAAGGCAGCCCCCUGGGCUGACACUGACGCUCAUGCACGAAAGCGUGGGGAGCAAACAGG
rnacentral:rRNA from 1 species